GAUGAACGCUGGCGGCGUGCCUAAUACAUGCAAGUCGAGCGAACAGACGAGGAGCUUGCUCCUCUGACGUUAGCGGCGGACGGGUGAGUAACACGUGGAUAACCUACCUAUAAGACUGGGAUAACUUCGGGAAACCGGAUCUAAUACCGGAUAAUAUAUUGAACCGCGUGGUUCAAUAGUGAAAGACGGUUUUGCUGUCACUUAUAGAUGUAUCCUGGCCGCAUUAGCUAGUUGGUAAGGUAACGGCUUACCAAGGCAACGAUGCGUAGCCGACCUGAGAGGGUGAUCGGCCACACUGGAACUGAGACACGGUCCAGACUCCUACGGGAGGCAGCAGUAGGGAAUCUUCCGCAAUGGGCGAAAGCCUGACGGAGCAACGCCGCGUGAGUGAUGAAGGUCUUCGGAUCGUAAAACUCUGUUAUUAGGGAAGAACAAAUGUGUAAGUAAAUAUGCACGUCUUGACGGUACCUAAUCAGAAAGCCACGGCUAACUACGUG
rnacentral:rRNA from 1 species